ACUUGACUCGAGAAAACCCCAACCGGUUAUAUGCCAAGCCGGGCCGUCCUCCCCCAUCCCAAACCCAAACCAGGAGUACUUUGGUCGAACACCUUCGCUUCAAGGCAAGAUGCUGCGCGAGUCCACGGGCAAGUCUCUCCUCCUCCUCCCUCGUCUUCUUCCGCUCCUCACUCGAAGAAACCGAAGGAACCAUCAUGAAAUCCUAAACUUCAUGGCUCUUUCUCUCUCAAAUCACGUUGGUCGCAAGAAGAAGAAGAAGGGUUCUAGGCCACCUGAUCGUGGGUUUAUUUCCUAUCACCUAUCAGCUCAGCUAUAGAGGGUUAUCUUUUACCAGUGUGAAGGUGAUUCUUGUUCUUGCUAUGUUCUACACCAGUACAUUUACAGAGGAUUCAUUCAUCGAAAGACAAUGUGAUGCGCAUGAUAUGCGUUUGUCACCUUAUACCGAUUAUAGGCGUAUCGAUGAUCAUUACAUCAUGUAGAUUAUUGUAAUACCUUGGAGAACUUCUCUGAGAUGAUCAAUUACCAUAUAUGGGCAAAGCUUUCAACUUUUCUGAGAUAGUCAAUGACCAUAUCUGAGCAAAGCUUUCUCUUAGUGUGUUGGAGGUCAUACUUGUUCUCACUAUGUUCGACACCAGUACAUUUGAAAAGGUCCUUAUGUUAGAAUUCAUUCAUCUGAAGACAUUGUGAUGCACUAGAAAUAUGGUUUUGAUCUUAUAUCCAUUAUAGGCAUAACGAUGAUCAUUGCAUCAUGUAGAUUCUAAUAAAUUGGAAAUUUUUUUCUGAGAUAGUCAAUGACCAUUUCUGAGCAAAACUUUCUGUGUGUGUGUGUGUGUGCAUGCAUUUGAACUCAUUUAACAAAGAGCAUACUAUUUAUUACUGCUGGAUCUCUCAUCAUCAUGGUAUAAUCCUACAAUCAUGACUUGGAGAAAGAGUCUUAUAUGAUUCUGACUCAUUUUUUGAGACAUCAUAUUAUAAAUGCUCAAGUUUACUCUAUCACAGUUCAUCCCAAAACCCAUCUCAUGAAAGGAAAAAUUCAUAUAUGAUGUUAAUGCAUAUUAACAUCUGAGGUAGAGAUACAAAACUAGAUGGGAGAAAUCUUGGUUGACAUCUUGAUUAUAAAAAAUAUGUUGAGAGAGUCUUGAAGAGGUGUAGACAACAUAUGUUGCAUGCAUAUUAAUGAACCGAUACACCAGAUGAAAAUGUCAUGAUUGAUAGAUAUUUUUGGUUGUCAUUGGACCAAUAAACUCGUUCAAGAAUUGAUAUUCAAGAAAGAUACUCCCAGUUACGGAUAAUUUUUUUCUUUCUGCAGUCACCACUCUAAUAUGACUGCGGUAAGCCUCUUUUUCAAUUUAUCAAGCUGCAAUCACCACUCAGAGUGAGCCUUAACAAUAUGGUGAAGUUGCUCUUUUGCAGCAUAGGUGAUGGACUUCGAACCCCAGAAACAACCUUUAGAUUUAUGGAGGGAAGACUAAGCUCCUCAAACUCCACCUUGGCGGCAGCCUCAUGCACUGAGUUGUCCUACAUUUAUAUUAUCCUGAGUGUCAAAGAAUAUUCCACUAAUCUGAUGAUAUUUUGAAUGAGGAGAUUGCUCUCACUAUGGGGAUCAGCCAAUGAUUUGUUUGCAAACAUUAGCUGCCGGGAUUUGGAUUAACAAAAUGCUGUUUCUCCUUCUCCAGAGAGGCUGAGACACAGCAGGCUUUACUUGGUAUAUGCAUACAAGUACCUCACAUGGAUAUUCAAGAUUCUCGAUGAUGUUUAUUAUCGGGCCAACAAACCCAGCUCGACAAACAAAAUUUAAGAUCGUCUGAUCCCAGAAAUAUCUAGAAGAAGACACUGAAGACAGCUACCCUAGACUGCUUUUAAGAUGAGGCCAUGGUGUAGCUGUUGCUAGAAUUAUCAGCAUGGUCCUAAGAAUUUGUUGUGCCAUGAAGAAAACAGAGCAGUGAUACGGGUCCCCAGGGCCAUACCAGUGUUGUAAAGUUCAUCGUCUCGUGCCCCAUCUCACAUGUUGAUUCAUUUGCUGCAGCAUUGGAGUUGUUGGGGUGUUCUUGAGGACCCAAAACAUGACAGAGCCAUUUAGUCUUGACAUAUCUAUUACAUUUCUGAUGGGGCAUACAAAAACUUGGACAUAGCUCAACCACAGAUGCCAGUGUCUCCCAUCUCCUCAACAUCUCACGGAAGAGCUUCUGACCUAAUUUGUCGGCGCAACAAAAGCAGAGCGGGAAGUAAUUGCUUUCAACUUGAAGAGAAAAGUUCUCUGUUAACUCUCCCGAAUUCAUGAACAUGAUUGUAAAGUUGCUCCUUUGCAGUCUGAUGACCGACGAAUUCCAAACCUCGUAUAUUAACCUUCCUUGUAUCAUUCAUGUAUUGAUCACUAAAAAUAUAUGCCAGGUUCUAAUCCUGUUGAAGAA